UUCACGGGGUUUCCACCCCAAUGUUAUUCAUUCUUCCGUCCAUCCCCUGAGUCCUGGGCAGCUUCUCCAACUGCUUCUUCCUACAGGGCUUCAUUAGGGAGGCCAAACUUUGCUAUCACUUACAAGACUGCAGAUGCACCUGGAGUAAAUCCCUUUGCCGUUGAAGGAGUUUCUGGACUUACAGCCACCAACCAGAGAAGGAGUUCCCUUGGUAACCUGCAUGUGAAUCUCCACUUUUGGCUCAUUCCAUUAAAGAAAGAUGAACCCUGAAGGGGCUCACUGACCCGUUUGCACCUCUACUUUAGGACAAGUUCGCCUUGCAGAAGAUGGAAGAAGCUCAUCCAGGACAACAUCUGCAGCCUCACCUAGGUAGGUGCAGCUUAGGACAGGUGGCUGUAGUCCCAGCGAGGAAAGUCAUGUGGAGCUAAGUAAAAGUUAUGCCUGUUACAAGCUCUGCUGCUUUUUAAUGAAAGGGGAACCCAUGUUCUCAGCUACUUUCUGGAGAGUUUUGGGUGGCAGUUGAUUAGAAACGCAGAUUUCCUACUUUUGUGCUUGCAAGAAAGAGUGGAGAUGUGAAACUUCGAAUGUGAUGGAGCAAACACAUCUUCUUGUGGGUUUCAUCUUCUGCUUGCAGGAGAUGCUUGAAGGAGUAGGAAGGAGGAGACUGAAUACUUCCUGGGUGGAAGAGGUCUGUGGGUGAAUGGGGAGGGCUAAGCCUGUGGCAUGCUGGCCCCGUUAGCCAUACUGACAUAGAUGGCACAUAGCUUGUGCUAUACGUGCUGAUCCCUGCACCCACCUUUGUCUGGUGG